AAGCUUUUUGCUCGAAUUAUGUUUCUCAUCCAAAUAUAAGACGAACAAAAGGUUUGU
ensembl:miRNA